rnacentral:rRNA from 1 species
AACGAACGCUGGCGGCAGGCCUAACACAUGCAAGUCGAGCGCGCCCUUCGGGGUGAGCGGCGGACGGGUGAGUAACGCGUGGGAACGUGCCCUUUUCUACGGAAUAGCCUCGGGAAACUGAGAGUAAUACCGUAUACGCCCUUUGGGGGAAAGAUUUAUCGGAAAAGGAUCGGCCCGCGUUGGAUUAGGUAGUUGGUGGGGUAAUGGCCUACCAAGCCGACGAUCCAUAGCUGGUUUGAGAGGAUGAUCAGCCACACUGGGACUGAGACACGGCCCAGACUCCUACGGGAGGCAGCAGUGGGGAAUCUUAGACAAUGGGGGCAACCCUGAUCUAGCCAUGCCGCGUGAGUGAUGAAGGCCUUAGGGUUGUAAAGCUCUUUCAGCUGGGAAGAUAAUGACGGUACCAGUAGAAGAAGCCCCGGCUAACUCCGUG